UGUUAGAAACGGCAGCAAACACAGGCGGCCAGAAGGCGUCAGCGCAGAGCAGUGCCUGGCGCAGAGGCGGGGUUUCCUUUUCCUCCGCAGGUACUAUACUAGACCUUCCGCACAACACGCUUCUUUUUCUUUUCUUUUUCAAUAAAGAAAAAGUUACUCGGUUGAACUAUGGUUGAUGGCAGAAGCUGAAGCUCAUUACCUUGUUGUCAUGAGACAUCCAAUGAAAGCAGGUGAGCACAGAAUGUUUCUUCUGGACCCUAGCACACACUCCACAUAGUGGCCAAGAAUAAGUGUCUGCACUGCAGUGAAGUCCUGCUCUACCUGAGGCUUAGGAACUUUGUGCUUGAAAGCAGCUGAAGACAUUGGAGCAAAUUAUUAGGUGCCAGCGGUGUCAGCAGCAGGUAAGCACAUAGCUUUGUAUCUGAGACAAGACCUUGC